rnacentral:rRNA from 1 species
UACGUAGGGACCAAGCGUUGUUCGGAUUUACUGGCGUAAAGGGCGCGUAGGCGGUCAGCACAAGUCAGUUGUGAAAUCUCCGGGCUUAACUCGGAAAGGUCAACUGAUACUGUGCGACUAGAGUGCAGAAGGGGCAACUGGAAUUCUCGGUGUAGCGGUGAAAUGCGUAGAUAUCGAGAGGAACACCUGCGGCGAAGGCGGGUUGCUGGGCUGACACUGACGCUGAUGCGCGAAAGCCAGGGGAGCGAACGGG